rnacentral:rRNA from 1 species
UACGUAGGGGGCGAGCGUUGUCCGGAAUUAUUGGGCGUAAAGCGUGCGUAGGCGGUUCGUUAAGUCAGCUGUGAAAGCCCCGGGCUCAACCUGGGAACUGCGGUUGAAACUGGCGAACUAGAAUCUGGCAGAGGGGGGUGGAAUUCCACGUGUAGCAGUGAAAUGCGUAGAUAUGUGGAGGAAUACCGAUGGCGAAGGCAGCCCCCUGGGAUAACACUGACGCUCAUGCACGAAAGCGUGGGGAGCAAACAGG